UAAGCGGCUAUAGUCGUUGAGCUCGUCACCUCUCGUCGUAGUGUUUUGGGUCGUUGCGUUAGUGCAUUAGCUGAUAUACAGUUAGUUUUCCUUUUUAGCGAACGAAAUUACGAGUCCCUUGUUUUCUGCUGUUCUAGCGUGGUAACGAACGUCUUGGCAGCUUCACAGAAUUUAGGACAGUUAGUUCUAUUCACGCCGCGCAGUAAAAGUGUUUGUGAGUGGGUGUCUGUGUGCGCGCGAGAUACAAUCGUAGCGCGUAUACUGAAUGUGAGCGCCAGCCAAAUGUAUUUCCGCUAGCGUUCGCAUUGGCAAAUUAUAUCAUAAAAUCAACAUUGUGCGGUCGUUUUGCCAUUGACAUAGGUCACGUCGCCAACGUGUGUGUACGUGCGCUGCGUUCGAGUUGCCAGCCGCUUCAGUGCUGUGUUCAGUGUGCGAACAGCAACGCCUUCGCUGUCUGUAUGUGUGUAUGUACUUACUUAUAGUGUACUUUAACAGUUUAACUGCAUAGCAGCAGCGCGCACACCAACACACAUUCACGUACACAUACAAGAGCACAUUUGUAGUGACGCCGCGGACUUUUGGUGUUGGCACGCGUGUUGUGCGCGCAGCGUAGUAAGCACGCACCGGCAGCGCUGCCGCGAGGCUCCCACAAAUAUACAACAACCAUAUAAUCGGGCACUGUGCUCACACACACAUACACAGGCGCCGCAUUAAGCACUUUAUGUGCGGUAAUUCGAAUAUAAAUUUGAUUUUCCUGCGAAUUGCAGCAACAAAGCAACAAAGAAAGCGAAUGUGAAAUUGCCAGCAGCAAUUUGUUGCUUGCGUGAGCGUAAUACAUAUAACAAGCACAACAACAACAACAACUAUAAAAACAAAAAGGACAACACUAGUGAGUACAAGCAACUGCUGCGAUAAAUAAAAUCCGCAUAUGCACAAUCAAAAAUUGCACCAACUCGUGCGUGUGUGUGUGUCGAAUUGUUGAACGCUGUCGUUUAUGCGGCGCGUUGAUUCUUAAACGCUUGCCUAUUCGUCGAAAGUGCAAAUACUAAAUUUUCGUGGUGUGCGCGUUAAACGGUAGCAAAUUACUAGAGUGAGGCGCGGACGACCAUUAUCAUUUGCUCACUUUGCUGCUAACGGUGCGCAUUUCAAGCAUUAAGUACACGCCCACAUACAUACAUACCUAGAUUUGUUUACUUACUUUUGAGCACAUUGUUGCCGGUAGUGUUUCGUGGCACUUGUGCGGUUCGUAAAAACAAAAGUUGUUGACAUUAAAAUUUCCGUAAAUGCGCGCUUAAUGCAGGUGCUCGUUUGAGUUGUGAGUGUUGCUGUUGCAAAGUAUCGUUGCAGAUGUGUGAUAAAUAAAACGAAAAUUUGUUUGUGUAAGCACUUGUGAGACUCUGGAGUGCUGUUGUUGAAAGGCAAUUUCGCAAACAAUCAGCUGUGGCAUUUUUAAAGUGAGUGAAAAGUUGGAAUUGAGACUAAAGAGUGCUUGCAAGUCCGAAUUGUGCAAAUCUUUAAAUAUUAUAUCUGUUGUAUAAAGAAACGAAUUUAGGAAGAAUUAAAAGAGAAAUCUGCACGGACUGCAAUUUUGUGUAGCCUUUG